rnacentral:rRNA from 1 species
GAUGAACGCUGGCGGCGUGCCUAAUACAUGCCAGUCGAGCGAACGGACGAGAAGCUUGCUUCUCUGAUGUUAGCGGCGGACGGGUGAGUAACAUGGAUAACCUACCUAUAAGACUGGGAUAACUUCGGGAAACCGGAGCUAAUACCGGAUAAUAUUUUGAACCGCAUGGUUCAAAAGUGAAAGACGGUCUUGCUGUCACUUAUAGAUGGAUCCGCGCUGCAUUAGCUAGUUGGUAAGGUAACGGCUUACCAAGGCAACGAUGCAUAGCCGACCUGAGAGGGUGAUCGGCCACACUGGAACUGAGACACGGUCCAGACUCCUACGGGAGGCAGCAGUAGGGAAUCUUCCGCAAUGGGCGAAAGCCUGACGGAGCAACGCCGCGUGAGUGAUGAAGGUCUUCGGAUCGUAAAACUCUGUUAUUAGGGAAGAACAUAUGUGUAAGUAACUGUGCACAUCUUGACGGUACCUAAUCAGAAAGCCACGGCUAACUACGUG